AUUGAACGCUGGCGGCAGGCCUAACACAUGCAAGUCGAGCGGAUGAAGGGGGCUUGCUCCUGGAUUCAGCGGCGGACGGGUGAGUAAUGCCUAGGAAUCUGCCUGGUAGUGGGGGAUAACGUCCGGAAACGGGCGCUAAUACCGCAUACGUCCUGAGGGAGAAAGUGGGGGAUCUUCGGACCUCACGCUAUCAGAUGGGCCUAGGUCGGAUUAGCUAGUUGGUGGGGUAAAGGCCUACCAAGGCGACGAUCCGUAACUGGUCUGAGAGGAUGAUCAGUCACACUGGAACUGAGACACGGUCCAGACUCCUACGGGAGGCAGCAGUGGGGAAUAUUGGACAAUGGGCGAAAGCCUGAUCCAGCCAUGCCGCGUGUGUGAAGAAGGUCUUCGGAUUGUAAAGCACUUUAAGUUGGGAGGAAGGGCAGUAAGUUAAUACCUUGCUGUUUUGACGUUACCAACAGAAUAAGCACCGGCUAACUUCGUG
rnacentral:rRNA from 1 species